CAGCAAGACUCCCUGGGAGUGGGCUGGAAGAGAUAGGUUCUUCUUCCAUUUCAACCACUCUUGACAACCGUGUGUCUGCACAUGGAGAAGGAACACUUUUCAUCAAACUCACAUACGGAAGACACACUUUUAACACCCGUGGGCACUGUGGAACUUGGUUGAGUGUGCUAAGGUUUGCUUAAAGACCGGUCUACUCUGGGUACACGGGUUCCGGUGAUCAGUGACGUACCCUAAUUGGUCAUGCCACUUGGGGGUACUGUUGUCAUAACAAGCUUUAUCUGGUUAGGCGGUAAGAUGCGUUCUGGCACACAGUGCUGGACCGCACCAAUAAAAAAAUAGACCCAGGGGAAAAAAUGCAGUUAUGGAGAUUACCUUACCAACCGGUCAUACGUACUAGCGCAAAGAGCAUUGUAACCUAGCUGGAAAUGUGACAGACAGCUCUGAAAAACGGACCUCUUCUGUUGUAACAGAUAGGGGCGAUUCGUAAUUUAAUCUAAUUCCCAGGAAUGAAUAGCGUUGUGCUGGAGACAGACAGCUCAUUUCGGGGCUCAUAUGAACCAUGUGUGGGAUAAUAGCGUGGUCGUGUCCUACCCUGCUCAUUCCCUCGACUCCGCUAGCAACAACUAAUCACCGAAAGAGCCCAUGACCAUGGCCGCAAGAAGAUGUUUCGGGGUGGUGAUGCAGCAGAGAUUUUUCUCCGCUCUGCUGACGAGUAUUUGUCUCCAUUAAUAAAGGAGCAUACAGUUUUGCAGCACCCCCAGCACUGUGGCUAUGCCCAUAACCUGUAUCACUAGACACCUCAUAGGGGACUAGUGAGCUGCAGACAGUAAUCAGCAAUGAAUCCCAGUAAUAAGACACCUAUACGGGAGGGGCGCCCCCUUGAAGACAGUGACGAAACUGGUCACUCUCACUCUGGAAGAUUGAUAUACCCCUUGAACACGGUGGAACGUGGGGUAACAGAGGGGGCAGCAUUAAACAUGGACAAGCUUCCAACGUACGCUGUGCUUCCGUGAGACUGUAUAGCCUGCAUGAAGGGGUCUCUGGCAAUGGCUGAUGUAGUACCCCGUUUGCCAAAUGUGGGAGCACUGCUGUUUGUCACCGUAAUGUUUUUGCGGAGGGGUGUACUGGUCACUCAGACCCGUGCCAAGGACCGACGCUCCGGGGGUUACCCCAAUCAAGUGCUCGGGGGGCUGCUUCUUCAUUGGAGGUGCAGGCAAACGCCCUCCAACUCCAUGAACUGGAAAUAGGAAUAGGGUUACAUAACACAGAGGGAAAUCUAGACCUGAGCCUUAGGACCAUGCCUCAGGACUACCUGGCCUGAUGACUCCUUGCUGUCCCCAGUCCACCUGGUCGUGCUGCUGCUCCAGUUUCAACUGCGGCUAUGGAGGUGCACAGCAGGUGUGGUAGAGAUACUCUGAAUGAUCGGCUAUGAAAAACCAACUGACAUUUACUCCUGAGGUGCUGACCUGUUGCACCCUCUACAACCACUGUGAUUAUCAUUAUCCAUUAUCAUCUAUGAACAUUUGCACAUCUUGGCCAUGUUCUGUUAUAAUCUCCACCCAGCACAGCCAGAAGAGGACUGGCCACCCCUCAUAGCCUGGUUCUUCCUAUGUUCCGGCCUUUCUAGGGAGUUUUUCCUAGCCACCGUGCUUCUACACCGGCAUUGCUUGCUGUUUGGGGUUUUAGGCUGGGUUUCUGUACAGCACUUUGUGACAUCAGCUGAUGUAAGAAGGGCUUUAAAAAAUACAUUUGAUUGUGUUAGGUUUUGAAACAUCAUCCACAAUGACCAUGUUUUACACUCAGUUUCAACCUGGUGUUGAACUUUUGUCAAAUUGAUCAUCAUAGUGAGGUGAGUUUUAAAAGCAGGAUACUGUUUUCAUGAUAAGUCUUUGAUGUGAUUGUUGAUUGCAUUUGCAUUGGUGUCAGAGGGUGUCAGAGUUGUUAGAGGGACAAUAGAGCCCCGAGUACCAGGCCAUUAGGACAUGAUGGUCAUUAGCAAGUUGGGGUGGCAGGUAGCCUAGUGGUUAGAGCGUUGGGCCAGUUGCCAGAAAGUUGCUGGAUCGAACCCCUGAAUUGACAAGGUAAAAAUAUGUUGAUCUGCCCCUGAACAAGACUGUUCCGGUAGGUAGUAGGCUGUCAUUCUAAAUAAGAUUUUUUUCAUAACUGACUUGCCUUGUUAAAUAAAGGUGAAAUAAAUACAGAUAAAUAAAAAAAUUAUAAUAAUACUACCAUAGCAUGUCCAGAGUGCAUAAAAGGAGAUUACCAUGACUCAAAGGUCACGUGGAAUUUUACUGUAGUCAUGACUCAUGACAGCUGGUGUGGUGGUAACAGCCCUAGCUGUGGAUCCCUUACAAAAAAGAUUGCAGUAUAACUGCAGUACACUUUUGUAUAACUGAAAAUACUGCAUCCAAAAUACCUUUUUUUACUGCAGUAAUUUUGCAAUGUAUGCAGUUACAGUGCAGUACAACUGCAGUUCAACUACAGUACACUGCAGUUAUUCUGAAAUCACUGCAUCCAAAAUGCCACUGUCGACUGCAGUUACCGCACUUUCAAAACGGCAAUCUUUUUUGUAAAGAAUGCAAGGACUGACCAUCCAUGAGCUCAAAAUGAUAGUUUUAACUAUGUUUUGAAGCUAUACAGUGUUUGUUUACAAUCACAUUAUUUACAAACAAUGGUGUGCAAUAAGCUUAUAGUUUGGGUCUGCUGGGGCACAACAAUUACACUAAGGCAUAGUCAUUCAUUUCAAGCGUUAACUGGUGAUAACAGGCACCCACAUUGGCGGUUUUUACUGCCUUGGAGCCUUCAAAUAGGUAAGCAGCUGCUCUUUUGAUUGCUUGGAAACCAUCCCGCCCCACUCAUGUUAGAAGUUCAGAACGAGAAAGUGUAGGCUAGAUACAAAUAAUUACCCAAAUUGAAUAUCAUUAAACAAAAUAAUGAGGAUUAAUAGAGGUGUAGAUUACAUCUCACAUUCCAGUGUUCGAAUUUGUUAACAAGGCUGCAUGGGAUUUCUCUUAAUGCGACUCCGUGCCGCCAAUGGCAAUGUCUGCUUUAGGUAUAAUGCCGGGAGCCACUUCAAUCCGAUUGCCCCUUUUCGGCUAUGCACCUUUUUAAAGCAAUGUUCCUGCGUUCGCGGAGACCGCAUUCACAGUAUUUAAAUGAUCUUUAAAUGUCAAGUGCGCUAUUAAGCAGAUCUAGCGUAGAUCGAAAUGAAUCCCAGCCUAAACUCAAGUCGAGUUAUAUUCUUCAAGAAUCAAUGGCUAAAAUAUAUAAUUCAUUCCAAAAAUGUAUGCACCAAUCACAGACUGACCCUUUAAUCAUGGCUUGGGUCCAGCUAUUUGAUACAGCAUUCCAGAUACCAUGAGGUGUGCUAUUAUAUAUGAAUUCAAUAUCUUUCUCUUCCGCCCCCUGUGGAUGUUUAGGGUAACUACACCUAACACGUGUUCAGCUUUGUUGGACAGUUAACAAGACAGCACCAUCCACCUCAACCGCUGUAGUAUGCAAGUAGUUUCCCCAGAUUCAUUACUUCCAGUGGUUAGCUGAUUCAGAAUAAAGAUAGAAAAGCUAUAAUUCAUUCAUGAGGUGGAUGGAUCUUAUGUAAACAUACCUGUUCAUUCCACUGGUUAUUCCAGCAGGGACACGUGAUAUUGUCACCAUCCAUGCAACAUUACUGUCAUUCAGUUUGACAGAAUGUAGUCCGUUUCUCGGUGUGUCAAACUGAGUGUCAAAGUCAUGAUACAUAUCUGACCUGGACAUAUUUGGAUUCUCACUGACAGAAUGUGUCAAAAUGUGUCUCAUUCUCUCACUACAUUUCUUGUUUUUUCCAUUUUCACAGGCUUUUAUUCAACGAGUGAGGGAGCUCACCCUUAACGACAAGGGGUGAAAAGGGGUCACAUAAAAAAAAAUCUGAAGCCCUACAGGGCUUUGUGAUAUAUUUACCAGUGUGGCGCUCUGAAGAAUUAAACAAAUUAAGGACAAGGGACUUGUGACUUGGGGAGAAAAGGCAUUGCGCAAAACACCAGAAUAAUUAUCACUGUGAAUCAUUGCAAUGUUUGUUUGUUUGUCAAUUAAUCCUGUAAGGUAUGGGUUGCCAACUGGCUAUUUGACACGGAAAUAGUGUUUUUUAUGUUAAUUAAAGUCUCAGAAAUAAAGAUUUACAUGUAUUCUUAAAGGGGUACAAACGCUUGUCACUUUAGUAUGUUAUAUGGCCAGUAUACCACACCCAAGGGCUGUUCUCAUGCAUGAUCUAAUGCGGAGUGCCUGAAUACAGCCCUUAGCCGUGGUAUAUUGGAAAUAUACCACAAACCCGAGGUGCCUUAUUGCUAUUACAAACUGCCUGAAUAUAAACAGUGUAGUUAUUCCCUCCGCAAGGCAAUCAAAAAAGCGAAAUGCCGGUACAGGGACAAGGUGGAGACGCAACGGCUCCAACACAAGACGCUUCCAGACAAACUAAACACCUUCUUUGCCCGCUUUGAGAAUAAUACAGUGCCACCGUUGUGGCUCCCUAACAAAGUCUGCGCCCCCCCCCCCUCCUCCUCCUCAGUGGCUGACAUGAGUAAAACAUUUAAACAUGUUAACCCUUGCAAGGCUGCUGGUCCAGACGGCAUCCCUAGCCGUGUCCUCAGAGCAUGCCCAGACCAAAAUAUGACGCAAUUACCAUUGCCAUUGCACUGCACACUGCUCCAUCCCAUCUGGACAGAAGUAAUACCUACAGUUGAAGUCGGAAGUUUACAUACACUUAGGUUGGAAUCAUUAACUUGUUUUUCAACCACUCCACAAAUUUCUUAUUAACAAACUAUAGUUUUGGCAAGUCGGUUAGGAUAUCUACUUUGUGCAUUUAUAAUUCACUAUAUCACAAUUCCAGUGGGUCAGAAGUUUACAUACACUAAGUUGACUGUGCCUUUAAACAACUUGGAAAAUUACAGAAAAUUAUGUCAUGGCUUUAGAAGCUUCUGAUAGGCUAAUUGACAUAAUUUGAGUCAAUUGGAGAUAACUUGUGGAUCUAUUUCAAGGCCUACCUUAAAACACAGUGCCUCUUUGCUUGACAUCAUGUGAAAAUCAAAAGAAAUCAGCCAAGACCUCAGAAAAAUAAUUGUAGUCCUCCACAGGUCUGGUUCAUCCUUGGGAGCAAUUUCCAAACACCUGAAAGCACCACGUUCAUCUGUCCAAACAAUAGUGCGGAAGUAUAAACACCAUGGGACCACGCAGAUGUCACACCGCUCAGGAAGGAGACGCGUUGUCUCCUAGAGAUGAACGUACUUUGGUGCAAAAAGUGCAAUCAAUCCCAGAACAACCACAAAGGACCUUGUGAAGAUGCUGGAGGAAACUGGUACAAAAAGUAUCUAUAGGAAAACAAGUCCUGUAUUGACAUAACCUGAAAGGCCGCUCAGCAAGGAAGAAGCCACUGCUCCAAAACCACCAUAAAAAAGCCAGACUACGGUUUGCAACUGCCCAGAGAAAUGUCCUCUGGUCUGAUGAAAUAUAAAUUGAACUGUUUGGCCAUUUUGACCAUCGUUAUGUUGGGAGGAAAAAGGGGGAGGCUUGCAAGCCGAAGAACUCCAUCCCAACCGUGAAGCACGGGGGUGGAAGCAUCAUGUUGUGGGGGUGCUAUGCUGCAGGAAGGACUGGUGCACUUCACAAAAUAGAUGGCAUCAUGAGGUAGGAAAAAUGUGGAUAUAUUGAAGAAACAUCUCAAGACAUCAGUCAGGAAGUUAAAGCUUGGUUGCAAAUGGGUCUUCCAAAUGGACAAUGACCCCAAACAUACUUCCAAAGUUGUGGCAAAAUGGCUUAAGGACAACAUAUUGGAGUGGCCAUCACAAAGCCCUGACCUCAUUUCUAUGGAACAUUUGUGGGCAGAACUGAAAAGUUUGUGCGAGCAAGGAGGCCUACAAACCUCACUUACACCAGCUCUGUCAGGAGGAAUGGGCCAGAAUUCACCCAACUUAUUGUGGGAAGCUUGUGGAAGGCUACCAUGAAUGUUUGAUCCAAGAUAAACCAUUUAAAGGCAAUGCUACCAAAUACUAAUUGAGUGUAUGUAAACUUCUGACCCACUGGGGAUGUGAGAAAAGAAAUCAAAUCUGAAAUAAAUCACUCUACUAUUAUUCUGACAUUUCACAUUCUUAAAAUAAAGUGGUGAUCCUAACUGACCUAAGACGGUAUUUUUACUGAGUUUAAAUGUAUUUGGCUCAGGUGUAUGUACACUUCCAACUUCAACUGUAUGUAAUACCUACAGCUCAGCAUUCAACACCAUUGUACCCUCCAAGCUCAUCAUCAAGCUGGAGGCCCUGGGUCUCAACCCCUCCCUGUGCAACUGGGUCCUGGACUUUCUGACGUGCUCCCUCUGCUGUUUCCUGAAGUCCACGAUCAUCUCCUUUCUUUUGUUGACGUUGAGUGAGAGGUUAUUUUCCUGACACCCUACUCCGAGUGCCCUCACCUCCUCCCUGUAGGCUGCCUUGUCAUCGUUGGUAAUCAAGCCUACUACUGUUGUGUCGUCUGCAAACUUAAUGAUUGAGUUGGAGGCAUGCUUGGCCAUGCAGUCAUGGGUGAACAGGGAGUACAGGAGAGGGCUGAGCACGCACCCUCGUGGGGCCACAGUGUUGAGGAUCAGCGCAGUCGAGGUGAUGUUUCCUACCUUCACCACCUGGGUGCGGCCCGCCAGGAAGUCCAGGAUCCAGUUGCACAGGACGUGGUUCAGACCCAUGGCCUUGAGCUCUGUAAUUUUGCCAAAAAGUUCCCAAAUGGCCCACCCAGUAAAGGAAACACACCCUGUUUGAAAUAUCCUGUUUUCCUGUGGGUUUUUUUAGGAGUUUUUCUGUAGAUUUGUCUGAUUUUCACUCUCAAAAUCACACUUUUUUUAAUAGACAAAAAUACAAAAAUGUGAUGUCUAAGUCCACAACAAUGCUGAAACCACAUCAAUCUGAUCGGGUGGCCCAGUCAGGGCUUGGCUUCCCUGUGUCCACCUAGGCCCAUCCAUGUCUACGCCCCUGAUGCAAACAGCCCAUGAUGACAAUUGCACAUCACAAAUAGCCUACUAACCAACACUUCGACUGAACUUUUUCAAAAACUGGUUUGCAUACCCAUUGUUGCUUUAGUUAGCAUUUACCAGCAGAUAUAAGUUGAAACAUCUUUCCUACCGUACCGGCUACCGAUGUCAUUCUUCUGUGAGCUGUUCCAUGCCAAAACCAGUUGAGAGCUGCACACUCUUGCUGCUGCUGAAACUAGGCUGUGUGCGGUGCGCAUGUGAAUAUAUUUCACGUGCUUUGCGAUUGUGUAGGCUACUUUGUACAUGAGUUCUCUCUUGUACUACAUAAUUGAUAAGUUGUAUACAUCAGUAGGGAUUAAGGUGUAUUGGUAAUGACCACUGAAAAAAAAGUAUGUAUACGGUUUAUAUCUGUUGUAUGCCCUCCACUACACCACUAGUCCGUUAUUGUGUGACAGGUUUGUGAUUCGGAAAGGACCAGUGCACUCAUAUAGGAGAGUGCACUUCUUGUAAAACACAAAGGCCUAUAGGUUCGGCACUGGGAAAACAUGUCUAUAAUAGAUGAGGCCGUUAAGAUAUUAAUGGUUCAAGAAAGAAGUAUAUAUUUGGCCUGGCGAAGCGGUUUUAUGCGCUGACUGAAUGGAUUUUAUAAUAGUGAGUUUUCUACGCCACUGGUCUCGGGAAGAAAUUAUGAGUCCUUACUGUUCGAGACCGAGUCAAGACCCAGUACAAAUGUAUCUGACACAAGACCGAGUCACUCUAUGUGUACUUCAACACUGGUCGUAAGUCUGAAGCUAGCUAGCCAGGUAGCGAGAUGGUCAUAUCUUAUGAAAUUGUUUUCUAGCUAGCUAUCAAGGUUCAAACUUUGUUGUCUCUUGCUAGCUAGGUAGCAUGACAAAUUACUAGUUAGACAUUUUACAACUUCAGGUGUGUUCUUAAACUUGGUACUCAUCUCGGAUCCGGGAGCACCCUCAUCAGUAAAAAAGCUGACUAGCAUAGCCUAGCAUAGCGCCACAAGUAAAUACUAGCAUCUAAAUAUCAUGAAAUCAAAAGUCCAAGACUCCAGAUGAAAGAUACACAUCUUGUGAAUCCAGCCAUCAUUUCCGAUUUUUAAAAUGUUUUACAGCGAAAACACAAUAUGUAUUUCUAUUAGCUAACCACGAUAGCAAAAGACCCAACUGCAUAUUUUCAUCAUUUUUUUACUGCAUAGGUAGCUAUCACAAAUUCGAUCAAAUAAAGAUAUAAAUAGUCACUAACCAAGAAACAACUUCAUCAGAUGACAGUCUUAUAACAGAUUUAUUGUAUAGCAUAUGUUUUGUUCGGAAAAUGUGCAUAUUUCAGGUAUAAAUCAUAGUUUUACAUUGCAGCCACCAUCACAAAUCUCACCAAAGCAGCUAGAAUAACUACAGAGACCAACGUGAAAUACCUAAAUACUCAUCAUAAAACAUUUAUGAAAAAUACAUGGUGUACAGCAAAUGAAAGACAAACAUCUUGUGAAUCCAGCCAAUAUUUCAGAUUUUUUAAGUGUUUUACAGCGAAAACACAAUAUAGCAUUAUAUUAGCUUACUACAAUAUCCAACCACACAACAGCAUUGAUUCAAGGCAAUGGUAGCGAUAGCGACAAAACCAGCAAAAGAUAUUAAUUAUUUCACUAACCUUCAUAAACUUCAUCAGAUGACAGUCCUAUAACAUCAUAUUACACAAUACAUAUAUGGUUUGUUCGAAAAUGUGCAUAUUUAGCGGUACAAUUCGUGGUUGAACAAUGUGAAUACGUAGCCAAACUGCACAAAAUUAUCCGGAUAUUUUUCUGAUACUCACCUAAUCCUAAUCAAAUAACUAAUCAUAAACUUUACUAAAAAAUACAGGUUGGACAGCAAAUGAAAGAUACACUAGUUCUUAAUGCAACCGCUGUGUUAGAUUUUAAAAAAUAACUUUAGUACGACAUACAGCUUACGUUAUAGCGAGACAGCGCCCAAAAUCAGCGCCCAAAUUACGACGACACAUUUUCGAUAGAAAUACGAAAUAACAUCAUAAAUGGUUCCUACUUUUGAUGAUCUUCCAUCAGAAUUUUGUACAAGGGGUCCUUUGUCCAGAAUAAUCGUUGUUUGGUUGUAGAAUGCCCUCUUCAUCUGUAGACUUUGCAGCCAACGCUAGCCAUGUGGCGCAGCAGUGUCCAAAUCACCAUAACGCAAGACAAAGAAAUUCCAGAAAAUCGCAAUAAACUGAUAUAAGCUGAUAUAAGUCGGUUUAAAAUAACUAGUUUAUGAUGUUUUCAACACAUAUAUCAAAUAAAAUCAGAGCCGGAUAUAUCUAACGUCUAUAACGAAAGCUUUUCAGAACGCCAUCCUGAGCUCCCUCUCGCGCCAAGCUGAACGGUGAAAAGACUAGACCCACUGUUCCAAGAGCUCUUGUUCGGCCUCAGAUAGAGCUAUACACCCCAUUCCAAUUCUCACUGCCUACUGACAUCUAGUGGAAGGCGUAUGCAGUGCAUGUAGACCCAUAGAUUUCAUGCAAAUUAAUAGGCUGACCCUGGAACAGAGCCCCCGAUUUCAGAUUUUUCAGUUCCUGACAGGAAGUUUGCUGCAAAAUGAGUUUGAUGUUUUGAUGUUUGAUGUUUUACUCACAGAUAUAAUUCAAACGGUUUUAGAAACUAGAGAGUGUUUUCUAUCCAAUAGUAAUAAUAAUAUGCAUAUUGUACGAGCAAGAAUUGAGUACGAGGCAGUUUAAUUUGGGAACGAUUUUUUACAAAGUGAAAACAGCGUCCCCCCCUAUUGAGAAAAGGUUAAAUUCAUUUCUGGAGUACCAGAGUUCGCUCGUAAAUUCAGAGCAUUGUCAGAUUGUCCGUUUAGAAAUUCAGAGCGUUUCGCUCCCGGAGCGCACACUGGACGGUUGAUUUGAGCGUUCUGACCUUACAACGGCAGUAAAGCACCCAAGCUAACGUUGGGUAGCUUGCUAGCUACUUCCAGACACAAAUGAGAGUGACCAUUCUGACCAUUUUACUCGCCCUAGCAGAGCUUGUUUGGCAGUUUUCAUGUUAUCCAGAGUGAUGGUGACUAACUGUGUUGCUGGCAACAAUUUAAUUACGCUUUUUUGCUGACGUUAAUUGACAUCGACCAUAUUCAACUGGUGUUGAGUGCUCGUAAAUUCAAUAUUCUGCGCUCUGGGACACUGAGACGAGAGUGCUCUGAAAUCGGAGUUGAUAGCGAAGGCGAAUUUACAAAAGCAUCUGAAUGUCCAUUGAGAACGCACAACGACUAUACCAUUUAGUUCAGCUAAGAAUGACGGGACUAAUCAAGUCAAUAAACGUGGGGUAGUUAGUUAGAUAGCCUAUAGUUAAUAUAAUGGCCAUGUUGAUGUAUACGUAGCCAUCUAAUGUUAGGUAACUAGCUAACAUACCGGUACAUACUGCUGUAAUGAUAUAUGUGGUUUGUAAGGACAGCGUAGCUAACAAAUUGUCAGCCAACAUAACGUGUAAGGUAAGGUAAAUUUGAAAAGAAAUUACUUCAUUACAUUGCUGAACAUUUUCUUAACAUUUGUCCUAAUCAGUUAAACCAAUGAAUUUGUAUUUGCUAUCGUUGGUUUUCGGCUGCAUAUUUUCUGCCAUUUUCUAAAGAUCUGUAAACGAUGUGAAGCCACACGCAUUUCCUGAAGAAUUUCAUCAUGGGCCCUAAAGUACGGAAAUAUUGUCUUCUGCGUGUAUACUUCAUAUUUUGGCUAAUUUAGUACGAUAUCCAGAAAAUUUUGGCAUACUAACUAUAUCCAUAAUAUGACCAAUAAGAAUACUAUAAUAUUAUGGUGUUUCUAUUCCGAGAAAAACUAAAAACUAAACCCUCAGGGUUUCCGUUAGGAUGGAAUGGAAAAUAUUGUGCUGUACAAUGUGAUGGUCGGUAGUAGGCUACAGCAUUAGAGGAUUUAGGAUUCUAAAUGAUCUAAGGGGCAUAACAUUUCCACACCCUAAUUGUAGUGUAACCAAUACUCAUUUCGCCUAUGGUAGGCCUACAGUGUAUCUAAAAAUAUUAUUUUCAAUGACAUGACUCUCCACCAAUAAUUACAUUUGGUUGGGGGAUUGGAGGAUUCCAAUGUCUUUCUGAAGAAAUUGUUUGUCCUUUCCUAGGCCACGCAUGUUUACACCGGCUGCUGAUAACUCGACGUCUAGGAGGUAUCACUUCUUUAGUGAAGAAGAGUUCAAAGUUCAUACCAAGUUGCCAUACUAUAAGCUCCUGCUAUAUUCUGGCUGGUAUCGUCGAAAUUCAUCCUUCCAGCGUGGUGAUCGUCACCUCCACGUUGAAAUUCGCCCUUCUAAACGUAUGGACAUCAGUCUUCACGUCAUCGGGAACACAAUGUUAAUUUCGUUAGGUUUAAGUCGUUCAACCAUUCACAACCAGAGCUCACGCUGAGGUUGGCUUAGUUCUGUAGUUGAUAUUGACUUUCGUCAAUGGGCUUUUGUAGUGGGGGAGAGAAUGGCGUGUUUCCUAGUUCACAACCAAUGCCUGUUCUCUUGGGCGGGGCCACUGAGUGAGCAUAGUUCACUUGUGAAAACAAUUCUCUCAUUUCGAAGCUAAAAUUACAUUUAAUCUUUUCACAAAUAGUUUCAUAUUUAAACAUUUAAAUUGCACAACAAUUCCAUGUGAAUCUGAUAACUAGAAUGUGUAGACUUCCCAAGAUACACUUUAUGUCAUCCUAUCAUCAGUAAUAAUGUCUCAGACGACAACUGGUCUGACGUCAUAUUCUUUAAGUACCGGAUACUUUCAACUGGUUGGAUUACCCUCCAUAAAUACAUUUCCCCCUUUUUCUCUCCACUCUACAUAAUGGACUCUUGGAAAGCCCUUUGUGAACAUAGAGAGAGUAUUUUAACAUCAAAAGGUUGGGGAAAAGAACAAUCUUUAGGUCAUAAACCUCCCGCAACAGGGCAACAUCAUGACAUUGGAGGAUUGGAGGAUAUUUCUCUUAUUCAGUGAUAUUUAUUCCCAUAGUAAUUCGUUAUGGAUCCAUAGAUAAAUAAACAUCGGCAUUUUGAAAGAGUAUUUUUAUCAUCAUUUUAUUAAUGAAAGCAUAAAGAUGCCAUUAUUAGUUACAUUGUUUUAGUUUGAACGUGCAGACGCACUAAGAACAGAACAGCUGGAACGUUUCCCUAGUCAGAGCCAUUAUUAGUGCAAUGACCCUUAAAUAUUUUGGAGAUGAUUUCGUUUUCGAAUAACGUAAAAUGAGCGAGAAAAAGGCCAUUCUUGAACAUGGGGUGAGACGUUGUUACUAAUUUGUAAAUAAAGCCAGUUUGAUAUUUAGAAUGAUUUAUUUCCGUUUUUUUUAUAAAGCACUACUGAAGUCGUGCACAAUUAUCAGUUUCUAUUUAGGUUUAUGUCGCCCAUUCAUUGUCAGCUAGAGACACAGUAGGACCCAAAAGCAUAAUUGGUGCUCUAACUCCUCCUUGUGCCGGUCUGGAGCAAUGAAGUGGUGACUGCAGGGUACCAUACUAAACCACAAAUUACCUCUAAGUCCUGCGGUGUAAGCUUGCAACUUUUAAAGUAGGAACCACUGUACAUACUCAAUUCACAUCACAGAUAGCACGGUAGGUGUCACUCCCUGGCCAUAGAGAGGUUUUUAUUCUCUAUUUUGGUUAGGCCAGGGUGUGACUAGGGUGGGCCUUCUAGUUCCUUUAUUUCUAUGUUGGUGUGGUUCCCAAUCAGGGGCAGCUGUCUAUCGUUGCCUCUGAUUGGGGAUCAUAUAUAAGUUGUCCUUUUUCGUUUGGGUUUUGUGGGUAGUUGUUUUCUGUUUAGUGUCUGCACCUGACAGGACUGUUUCGGUUUUCCCUCUUUGUUAUUUUGUUCGAGUCUUUUGAGUAAUACAUUUAUCAUGAACACUUACCACGCUGCGCUUUGGUCCACUCAUUCCGACAAGAGCCGUUACUACCCACACAGUUAGUGUGGGUAGUAUGAGUAUUUGAACACAGCUCGUCUCAAAAACUCACUCAGGAAACAACCACACACGGUAAACAAUUCAAGCUUCUGCAAAGGAGCUCAGAAAACCUAUUUUAACAGGGACAGAAUUAUUAAAUAAUAAGACACACCUGAGUCCAGUAAAAGUCUCUAGGGUGGUCUCUGUCGGCCUCUGGUGCCAGGAAGAACCAUGACAGGGAGGAUGGAACUCCUUCUCUCAAAUUUCCUGUAGAUCUUCAUUAAAAUCUCUCAAACCCAAAUAUUUCUCUGCUGCUACAACUACCACAUCUAUCUUCUGUGAUUUUCGCUCCAUCAGUGCAGUGCAGUUGAUCACCAUGGCUAUAAAUGCAACCUUACUAAAACUCAUCCUCUCUGGCUUGCUCUCUUCACGCCUACUCACUGGGGGCCUCCCAGUCGACUCACUCAACCUUGAGCUAUCCUUUACUCUCUUCACUGCCUCAGAAUAGGACACUUUCUGCCCCACUUGAACACUGGCUACCUUAACAUGUCUCUAUCUCACAGGGCACAUUGGAUCCCCAGCUGCAUUUUUAUUCAUUUUAUUUUUUCACCUUUAUUUAAACAGGUAGGCUAGUUGAGAACAAGAUCUCAUUUACAACUGCGACCUGGCCAAGAUAAAGCAAAGCAGUGCAACACAAACGACAACACAGAGUUACACAUGGAAUAAACAAACAUACAGUCAAUAAUACAAUAGAAGAAGUCUACACACAGUGUGUGCAAAUGAGGUAGGAUAACGGAGGUAGGUCCCGUGUGGCUCAGUUGGUAGAGCAUGGCACUUGCAACGCCAGGGUUGUGGGUUCGAUUCCCACGGGGGGCCAGUACAAAAAAGUAUGAAUGUAUGUACUUGUAAGUCGCUCUGGAUAAGAGCGUCUGCUAAAUGACUUAAAUGUAAAUGACUUAAAUGUAAGGCAAUAAAUAGGCCAUAAUGGUGAAAUAGUUACAAUAUAGCAAUUACACACUGGAGUGAUAUAUGUGCAGAAGAUGAGUGUACAAGUAGAGAUACUGGGGUGCAAAGGAGCAAAAAUAAAUAAAAUUGAUAACAGUCUGGGGAUGAGGUAGUUGGAUGGGCUAAUUACAGGUGGGCUAUGUACAGGUAUGUGCAAAUUAAUUACUUAAAAAUCAUAGAAUGUGAUUUUCUGGAUUUUUUUAGAUUGGAAAGAUAGAGAUAGAUUCCGUCUCUCACAGUUGAAGUACCUAUGAUAAAAAUUACAGACUUCUACAUGCUUUGUAGAAGUAGGAAAACCUGCAAAAUCAGCAGUGUAUCAAAUACUUGUUCUCCCCACUGUAGGUCUGUAGCAGUUUGGGUCUAGAGUGUCUCCUCCUUUGAAGAGGGGGAUGAUCGUGGCAGCUUUCCAAUCUAUGGGAAUCUCAGACGAUACGAGAGGUUGAACAGGCUAGUAAUAGGGGUUGCAACAAUUUCAGCAGAUCAUUUUAGAAAGAGAGGGUCCAGAUUGUCUAGCCAGGCUGAUUUUUUAAAUCUUUAUUUAUUAACUAGGCAAGUCAGUUAAGAACAAAUUCUUAUUUUCAAUGACAGCCUAGGAACAGUGGGUUAACUGCCUUGUUCAGGGGCAGAACGGCAGAUUUGUACCUUGUCAGCUCGGGGAUUUGAACUUAUAACCUUUCAAUUACUAGCCCAACACUCUAACCACUAGGCUACCCUGGCGCCCCAGAUUUUGCAGCUCUUUCAGAACAUCAGCUAUCUGGAUUUGGAUGAAGGAGAAGUGGGGGAGGUUUGGGCGAGUUGCUGUGGGGAGCGCAGGGCUGUUGACCGGGGUAGGGGUAGCCUGGUGGAAAGCAUGGCCAGCCGUAGAAAAAUGCUCAUUGAAAUUCUCAAUUAUUGUGGAUUAAUCGGUAGUGACAGUGUUUCCUAGCCUCAGUGCAGUGGGCAGCUGGGAGGAGGUGCUCUUAUUCUCGAUGAACUUUACAGUGUCCCAGAACUUUUUGAGUUUGUACUACAGGAUGCACAUUUCUGUUUGAAAAAGCUAGCCUUAUGCUUUCCUAACUGCCUUUGAAUAUUGGUUCCUAACUUCCCUGAAAAGUUGCAUAUCACGGGGGCUAUUCGAUGCUAAUGCAGAACGCCACAGGAUGUUUUUGUGCUGGUCAAGGGCAGACAGAUCUGGAGUGAACCAAGGGCUAUAUCUAUUCCUGGUUCUACAUUUUUUGAAUGGAGCAUGCUUGUUUAUGAUGGUGAAGAAGGCACUUUUAAAGAAUAACCAGGCAUCCUCUACUGCCCGGAUGGGGGCCAACAACGCAAAAUGGGAGGAACUCUGUGUGCGGGAGACCUUCACCUCCUACUUCCUUGAAGAGGGUGCUGUUCCCGGGCAACACCUUGUGCCAUAGACUACACUAUGCACAAACAAAGACUCUUUUAAGAGCCAUCCACAUUGCAAUAAGAGUAUUCUUCCAUUUACUUAGCUAUGUCAACUGCAGUUAUUCAAUUCCCAGUUUCUCUCCGUUUGAAAUUCUACUCUCUGGUGAGGGCCUGUUCAGGUAAGGGUGAUACCUGCUCAUAAACAAAACAGGCUAUUUUAAGAGUCACCCAUAUUGAAAAAAUGUAGAACAGUUAGACACCCUACAACACAAACACUUGUGUAUCAAUGUGAUGGAUGGAUUGUGUUGAGCAGUAAGCAGGCUCAGAUGUAUAACUGUGGCUCCUUCCAUCUUCAAAGAAUAGACAAAAGGACCGACCAUGGAGAAUAGUUUAUAUUCAUGUUACUACGCUAUAUUGUUUGUCUAUGCAUGUUUUUCAGUAGAAAGUAUUCUGCAGCCACUCAGUGUGGACACCAGGUGAGGCCACACACACACACACACAGAUUCCUGUUGAACACUGUCUCUUUAACUACCUAAUUUUCUCAAUAACAGUCUCCCUAACUCACUUCAUCCCUCUCCCCCCUUCUCCCUAAAUCCUCUUGGUCAGGUAUUAAACUCUUACCCUACAAGGUCCAGAGCCUGCUGGUUUUCUGUUCUACCUGACAAUACAUCGCACCCACAUGAUGUCCCAGUUCUAAAUCAGUCCCUGAUUAGAGGGGAACAAUGAAAAAACGCAGUGGAACUGGCUUCAUGGUCCAGAGUUGUGUUUGAGGGCUGUAGGUUAUAUCAGCUGUGCUGGUGAACCCCUCCCGCUUCUGAAAUGCCUGACAAAUAGAGGGCACAGCAUGAUCAGAUGUGAGAGGUCACUUGGUCGCAGGGUUGCCAGAUCUAUAAAAAAAUUCUAGCCCAAUGACUAAUUCAAACCCACCCACAAGACCUAAAAACUAGCAAAAGGAGUUGCCACAUUUAGCUAAAAAAAACUUUUUCCAUAACGUUAUCGAGCGAAUUAAGAAGGAAUCUCGAUUUAAAUUCUAAGGUCCAAAGAAGCAAAAUUAGUUUUUCUAUCAAAAUCAUAAUUCUUGCGAGCUAAUGUGACUAGUAAAGGAAUUUGAUUAUGUCGCAAGAGAAAAGAUAAUUCACCCUUAUUAGAUGCAGGUAGCCUAUAGCCCCCUACAUCUAAUUUCAGAUAGCCUAAAAUAGCCUUGGGCAAGAUGUAAAAUAAACAAUUUGGCAGCUUACUUAGUAGAUUUUUAUUACAACAUGAACGGCGAGGCGAUUUUGAGGUAAAAAGUUCUUCCGUUUCCCAAUUGCCUGCUGGAAUAGGCUACUGUGGAUAGGAUCGUAAUUUAAAUCACUGCAUCAAAUAUUAAAAUAUGGAUAUGAACUGAAUAGGCCUAUGCUUGUCAACAACAGCCAGGUUGUUUUUUUUUUACCAGUAACCUAGUCUGACUGACUGUUCCCUUCAGUCGAACGCAUUCUAACAACAGCUAAACUGUGACCAUGAUCAGAAUUGAUAACUUCCAAUUUCAUUAACUAACAUGGCCAUUAAUAAUUGCAUAAUAACAUUAAGGCUACAAGAACAAUAAACUGAAGUUGUAGGCUAUUUAUUAAAUAUGUUUGCCAGCUCCAGAUAGGCUGCUACACAAGUGGAACAAAUUGAUUUGCAAUGACUCCAGUGAUAUCGUGAUUUCAACAUAUUUCUUGUAUAAAAUGGUUGCCUACAUAGGCAGAGAAAUGAAUAGGUUGAUUGAUGGCCAACAGAUGCAAAUGUAUUAUUCUUCACAUUUAAUGUCAGUUUAAUUGUGGACUUUUCCCCAUAACAGAAGCAUGCGAGGAAGUUGGAUAACUUCCAUUUUAAAUUUCUACUCGCUUGACAUGGUUUUCCAUAAGCAAAGUGGACAUUAGAAUGCAGUUUAAACCACCUCUGAGCUAUCUAAUGCACUCUAGAGCGCCAGAAGUUAUUUUCCUGUGCUUUGUCAUCAUUAUCUUUUUUAUGCACAUCAGUUCUAAUGGAUGGGUUACACCUACAUGGAUCAACUCUUAAACUGGGUUAAAUCAAAGUUUAUCUAUUCGUCUUGUUGCACCAAUUGUUAAACCUAGUUUUAAAUAAAAUCCUUCCUCUAAUCUAAGUUAAUUUUUCUCUUUAAACCUGGAUUAAUUAUAAAUCUGUUGCUAAAAAAUAUAUAAUAAUUGAAUAUAAACUUAGAUUGGCGAUUAAUUAUAAACUGCCAUUUGAGGUGGUUUAACUGAUGCAAUGGCAGCAUAUCUCCUGUGGAGAGAACAAAACGACAGAGUUCCUCCGAGACUAGAUAGUAAUUUGAGACUAGUUGAAUCCUGUUGAGUUUUAUGAUAACGAUGAGUUUUCAAGGAGAUGAUGCUUCUCCAAGCACUGUAAUGCAACUGGAAAGAAAGGUUGGACUAACCAUUAAGCAUGGGAGUGAUAGGAACAAGGCUGUAACCCCACUACUGCAGCUCCUGGUGGCCCUACGGUUCUACGCAACUGGAAAUUUCCAGAUGGUGGAAGGGGACCUUUUUGAACUCCACAAGUCCACCGUCUGCAGGAUUGUAGCCAGAGUCUCCAGUGCUAUUGCUGGUCUGAAGGAAUCAGUACAUAUGGUACAAUCCUACAGAGGAAACAGCAGCUGGAUUUGACAGGAGAGCUAUAUUCCCAGGUGUACUAGAGGCAAUAGACUGUACACACAUUCCUAUUACCAACCCUAGUGGCGAGAAUGGAGAACUAUUCCGUAAUCGGAAAGGUUGCUGCUCAAUCAACGUGCAGGCAGUCUGCGAUGACAAAGGUAAGCUCACCAACAUCGUAGCUAGAUGGCCAGGAUCCACCCAUGACACCAGAAUAUUUGACAAUAGUCGUUUGUGUGCAAGGGGGGCAUAUAAAGGCCACCUACUAGGUGACAAUGGAUAUGCCUGUCGUGGGUACCGCUUUUAAACCCCCAGACACCUGAAGAGACACAAACCACCAAUCUCACACUCAAUUUGUGCAAAUAUGUACUCAGAGUAUUUCAGCAGAUUUUGUGAAUUUUUUGUGUGGCUUAAAUCGAGUGAAAAUACACAUUUGUGUGUGAUUUACUUCGUAGGAAAAGACUGUUUUUGUGCAACUUCAUUCUUAGCAAAAAAUAAGUAAAAUGGUGGCAAACGGAACAAUCUUUUAAAACGUAUUAAAGCAAUGCAUGAUGGGCAAUUUAUUUUAUUUUACCGUUAUUUUACCAGGUAAGUUGACUGAGAACACGUUCUCAUUUGCAGCAACGACCUGGGGAAUAGUUACAGGGGAGAGGAGGGGGAUGAAUGAGCCAAUUGUAAACUGGGGAUUAUUAGGUGACCAUGAUGGUUUGAGGGCCAGAUUGGGAAUUUAGCAAUUGGCAAUGGUGCUCUACACUGCCUUUUUUUUGUGUCCCACAUUUAUUUAUAUAAAAAAGCAAACGUGAUAACAACCCAAUAUUGUUAAUCAACCAGGUUGUCACCUAAAUAAUUUUAUAUAAUAGUGGCCUUACCUUAUUUUUUAAAAUGUAUUCAUGCCAAUACUGUUUUCUAUGCUUGUUUUCACUUAUACUUUGGGAUACUGGUGUACUUUUCGUGUAGGCAACAGUAGGCCUUCAUAAUGCAUUUCAUAUUUCGUGUACAUUACACCAUUUCUUUCAUAAUGCAUUUUAUACAAGUCUAUGUUGAAUUUUAUGAGGGUUGCCAGAUUGAAGAAAAAAUACAUAUUUUUUUUUGUGUUAUUGAUGAUGGAAUUUGAUUGGGGAAUGACGAUACGUUUUCAUGGUGGGAAUGGAAUGGUUUCAUGGUUUUCAUGGUGGGAAUUAUAAUACACACGCACACAUACACUUACACACAUAUACACACACACCUUGUUUGUACUCAUGUUAUCGCCAACUCUUCAGUUUCUUUGAAUAAUUUUUUAUAUAAUACUUGUAUGCAGUUGUCAUGUAUUCAUGUUUCAAUAAUGAUUAACAUGGUUAAAAAGUCGUAAAUCUCGGCUUGAUUUAGCUUUUGGUAUAUUUGCCAUUUUUAUACAUAUUCUGUAUUCCACUGAAGAAAGAAGUAAUAAACACACUACUGUAAAUAAAUGGUGUUAUAAAACGGAAAA